CUACGUGCCAGCAGCCGCGGUAAUACGGAAGGUCCGGGCGUUAUCCGGAUUUAUUGGGUUUAAAGGGAGCGUAGGCUGGAGAUUAAGUGUGUUGUGAAAUGUAGACGCUCAACGUCUGACUUGCAGCGCAUACUGGUUUCCUUGAGUACGCACAACGUUGGCGGAAUUCGUCGUGUAGCGGUGAAAUGCUUAGAUAUGACGAAGAACUCCGAUUGCGAAGGCAGCUGACGGGAGCGCAACUGACGCUGAAGCUCGAAGGUGCGGGUAUCGAACAGGAUUAGAUACCCUGGUAGUCCGCACAGUAAACGAUGAAUACUCGCAGUGUGCGAUAUACUGUAUGCUGCCAAGUGAAAACGUUAAGUAUUCCACCUGGGGAGUACGCCGGCAACGGUGAAACUCAAAGGAAUUGACGGGGGCCCGCACAAGCGGAGGAACAUGUGGUUUAAUUCGAUGAUACGCGAGGAACCUUACCCGGGCUUGAAC
rnacentral:rRNA from 1 species